UACGUAGGGUGCAAGCGUUAAUCGGAAUUACUGGGCGUAAAGCGUGCGCAGGCGGUUUUGUAAGUCUGUCGUGAAAUCCCCGGGCUCAACCUGGGAAUUGCAUUCGAGACUGCGUAGCUAGGGUGCGGAAGAGGGAAGCGGAAUUUCCGGUGUAGCGGUGAAAUGCGUAGAUAUCGGAAGGAACACCAGUGGCGAAAGCGGCUUCCUGGUCCAGCACCGACGUUCAGGCACGAAAGCGUGGGGAGCAAACAGG
rnacentral:rRNA from 1 species